CCUACGGGUGGCUGCAGUGGGGAAUAUUGCACAAUGGGCGCAAGCCUGAUGCAGCAACGCCGCGUGAGGGACGAAGGCCUUCGGGUUGUAAACCUCUUUUAGCAGGGAAGAAGCGAGAGUGACGGUACCUGCAGAAAAAGCACCGGCUAACUACGUGCCAGCAGCCGCGGUAAUACGUAGGGUGCGAGCGUUAUCCGGAAUUAUUGGGCGUAAAGAGCUCGUAGGCGGUCUGUCGCGUCUGCUGUGAAAUCCCGAGGCUCAACCUCGGGCUUGCAGUGGGUACGGGCAGACUAGAGUGCGGUAGGGGAGAUUGGAAUUCCUGGUGUAGCGGUGGAAUGCGCAGAUAUCAGGAGGAACACCGAUGGCGAAGGCAGAUCUCUGGGCCGUUACUGACGCUGAG
rnacentral:rRNA from 1 species